rnacentral:tRNA from 1 species
GCCCAGAUAGCUCAGUCGGUAGAGCAUGAGACUCUUAAUCUCAGGGUCGUAUGUUCCAGCCCCAUGUUGGGUG